CUGACUUCACAGAGUCUGGAUGACCUCACUGUCUGACACCAAUAGGUGGCAGAUCAACCACUACAGAGAUAUCUGUCCAGAGGUGUGGACAUGUUUGGAAAAGGGGGUCUGGUCCAAGUGCUGGAAAAGAGAUUCUGGCUGGAAGAAAGAAUUAUGUUCUAAAAAGAAUGGCAAAGAACUUUGUUCUCAGAGAUGUCAUACCUAGCCUCGGCAGCCUGAAGACAGCUGUUUUCUGUUAGUCUACAGAAGCAUAUGGCUUUCCACGCUCUGUUUAUUCUUCCCUGGGUUAAAUUGCUAUGGCAUCGUCUCACUUCUCCUAAUGGGCCGUGUCCAGCAUCUGCACGGUUACAAAUGGGCAUGCUCAUUUGUGGAUUUAUGGAGCUUGAAUAACGUCAGGACUGUGUCAGACCUGCUGCCCCACGCAGGACGGAGAGAAGCAGGGCCAUUGCUGGCGCACAAAUUCGAUGAAUUCACAGAGCAAGGGAAAUUAGUGAAGCCGGUCCAGCGUCUCCUCUGCAUUCCUGUGUGGUAAGUGUGCAUCGUAUACCCUGGGAAAGAGCCCUAGAACACCUUCCUACUUUUUAAAACGUGGAAAGGCUACUAAUGCAAACACUGAAGUUUUCAGGCAGGGGAAAGUAGCAAAGUCUCUUCAGACAAGUGCUUGUGGGCCACCUUUAAACGCCUGCAAAUGCUGAAACACCACCUCUUAACGUACACGCAGCUUUCCCCCGCCUGUCCACCAUGAGGCAGCCUUCAAACAAGAGGAAAUAAAGACACCAAGUUCCUCUGAGCCAUUUUAUGGCACCCAUCAGAAGACCAACAGGGAAGAAGAAAAUGCCACUCAAACCUGGCCUUUGUGGCGCUUUGAAUGAGCGUGUUCAACAAGGCAGUAAGUGGGCUGCUUCGGAGUUUUUACCCGGGCGAGAUAAGGUGACACAAGAGAAAUUCCUUCCGUGUUUCUAUGGAUGCCCAGCAACCCAGGAUCCAGGGCUGCUUUUGAAAGCCGGGGCAAAGUAAUAUCCUCCACUAGAAAGGAUGUUCUUAUCUGAUUGGGCCUGCAAGAUGGGGAGGUUUCCUCUCUCUCCUGCCACGAGAAGGAGGAGGCUGUGCAGUCAGUGCUGGGGCCUGAGUGAGAGAAGUGGAUGAGGUGGAAAAGGCUGUUUGCAAGGAGGAAAAGGAGCCCAGAACUGCCAACAUUCUGCAUGCUGGACCUUGCCUGCUCGAAAUCUUGGGGGGCUAGGAUGACCUUGGCAUCCCGGCAGGGUUACCAAGAGUUCCUUCCUACAGCACAGUUACCCCAGGAGUCUGCGUUCUCCUCCUGAUGCUGACCUCAGCACAGUGUCGAUCAGCCUUUACCGUCUCCACCACAAGUAAACCCCAGGGCUCUAUCAGCCACCUGUCUACAACCUUCACACUUAAGAAAUGCAAAUAUUUAACCAGGAGAUAAGGGCACUGGUUUGUUCGGCAUAUUAGUGUAGUUUUGUCUUUUUAAGGAAGUUAUGAUUUUCAAGACCACACAUCUCUAACUGUAUCAGCCACCUAAUGCACUGAUAAAAUCUGAUGCUGUAGGGUAUGAAGCGACAGAGUUAGAGAUAAACACUUUGAUUUCUAACCCACUUCCCUCUUUGCACAAUCGUUUCCCUCCUACACGGCCCUCCGUUAUGCCAAAUAUUAAAUGGGUCAUUCCCAUCUGUGUUAUUCAGCACAGAUUGAAAUCUCCACCACCACUGCCUUCAUACUGAAAGUCUGAGAAGCCGAGACUAACCUCAUUUCAAGGUGAAGGCCUUCUGUCUGCCGGGAAACAGUCUUCGAAGACACUUCUUAACUCUGAGGCUCACAGUGGCGGCUCAGGCUCCUACGCAGAGCACGCCUUCCAUUGAGUUGUCAGUCCCCUCAGCCUCCUUCUGUCUGGAACAGUUCCCAGUCUGCCCCUGUCCUAGUGUCCUGAGCUGACUUCAAGAGCACAAGCCCCGGCGAGAACACCACCAAAAUGACGCUGCGCUCUUCUCAGCACGUCACACCGGGAGGCUCACGCUGCCCACCCACCCCUCUGUGGAGUUGUUACCUCCAUCACCUCGUCACCUGUGUCUACCACUUCCUCCUUUGCAUUUGAUUAAUAUUUUAUGGGGAGAUAAUCCAAUUCAUCAAACUUCU
rnacentral:lncRNA from 1 species